ACAGGGUGACAGGUGGUGCAUGGUUGUCGUCAGCUCGUGUCGUGAGAUGUUGGUCAAGUCCCGCAACGAGCGCAACCCUCGACCUUAGUUGCCAGCAUUCAGUUGGGCACUCUAAGGUGACUGCCGGCUAAAAGUCGGAGGAAGGUGGGGAUGACGUCAAAUCAUCAUGCCCCUUAUGACCUGGGCUACACACGUGCUACAAUGGGCGGUACAAAGGGUCGCGAACCCGCGAGGGGGAGCCAAUCCCAAAAAGCCGCUCUCAGUUCGGAUUGCAGGCUGCAACUCGCCUGCAUGAAGCCGGAAUCGCUAGUAAUCGCGGAUCAGCAUGCCGCGGUGAAUACGUUCCCGGGCCUU
rnacentral:rRNA from 1 species